rnacentral:tRNA from 1 species
GUCCAGGAAUGGGAAUCGAAUCCACAAUGUUCCGCUUCUCGGGCAGAUGCCAUGUCCACUAGGCUACCCUGGA